GAUGAAGAACGUAGCGAAAUGCGAUAAGUAGUGUGAAUUGCAGAAUUCAGUGAUUCAUCGAAUCUUUGAACGCACAUUGCGCCCUUUGGUAUUCCAAAGGGCAUGCCUGUUCGAGCGUCAUUUGUACCCUCAAGCUUUGCUUGGUGUUGGGCGUCUUGUCUCUAGCUUUGCUGGAGACUCGCCUUAAAGUAAUUGGCAGCCGGCCUACUGGUUUCGGAGCGCAGCACAAGUCGCACUCUCUAUCAGCAAAGGUCUAGCAUCCAUUAAGCCUUUUUUUCAACUUUUGACCUCGGAUCAGGUAGGGAUACCCGCUGAACUUAAGCAUAUCAAUAAGCGGAGGA
rnacentral:misc_RNA from 1 species